rnacentral:rRNA from 1 species
AUGGUGUUGUGGAUGCACGGCGUCGUCGCCGAGGAGCUCCUGGACGUCGUGGCGUCCCCGGACAGCACCGCCUACGACAUCUGGACCCAGCUCCACGUCCUCUUCAUGGACAAUCAGCCGGGCCGCGCCGUCAUCCUCGGCGCCGAGAUCCGGAACCUCGUCCAGGGCGACCUCUUCAUCGCCGAAUACAGCAGGAGGCUCAAGUCCCUGGCCGACGCUCUCGAGGACGUCGGCGAGCACAUCUCCGAUCAGGCCCUCACGCUCCAGCUCAUCUGUGGCCUCAACCGCAAGUUCCAGAUUAUGGCGACGCUCCUCCCGAUGCAGUCGCCGUUCCCCUCCUUCGUGCAGGCCCGUUCUCGCCUCCUCAUGAAGGAGAUCUCCGCCAACGAGCGGGCUCGGCUAGACGGCCGUUCGAAACUCCCCGCCGUUGCACUCACCAUCGGGCACGCCCCGAGUGGCGGCCCCUCUCCCCCCCUGAUCGCGGAUCAGGCAGCGACUCCGCCAACAAGGGCAAGGGGCCCGCUGCAUCUCCCCCAGGCGACAGGGGUAGUGGCUCGCGCGGGCGUGGGUGCGGUCGUGGUCGCGGCCGCGGCGGCCAGUCGUCUGGUGGCGCUCCCGCUGGACGCAGCGCCGCUCCAGCCGGGCCGCAGCCCCCGACUGGCUUCUUCGCUCCAUACGGCGCCUUCCUCCCAGGCCUGCCUGCACCACGGGCCCCUUGGGCUGCGCCAAACGCCGCUGGCGUCCUAG